rnacentral:rRNA from 1 species
UACAGAGGGUGCGAGCGUUAAUCGGAAUUACUGGGCGUAAAGCGCGCGUAGGCGGCUUUGCAAGUCGGGUGUGAAAUCCCCAGGCUUAACCUGGGAACUGCAUUCGAGACUGCAUUGCUAGAGUAUGGGAGAGGGAAGUGGAAUUUCCGGUGUAGCGGUGAAAUGCGUAGAUAUCAGGAGGAACACCAACGGCGAAGGCAGCACUCUGGGCCGGUACUGACGCUGAGGAGCGAAAGCGUGGGGAGCAAACAGG